rnacentral:lncRNA from 1 species
CAUCCGCGUGAAGGGAGAUAGGAAAGGCAGAAGGGAGGGAUGUGGAUUCCCCGUCAAUCACGGGCAUGCAGGUUCCCAAUACAAACAUACAUACAUACAUACGGGCGAAGUCACCUCACCCGGCCCCGGUUAGGGAGUGGCCGUUGGAUUGUGUGCAUAAGUCAGUGCUGAACAUGUACGGAUGGCCAAAACACGAACUGUGAGGGGGUAAGCCCGUCCCACAUGCGGCAGUUUGAGUGCUGUUUAUGGCAUUUGCUCUUCCUCCCCCCCACACACACACCGCCAGCAUGCAUAAAUGGGCCAUUACAGACACAUAUACACAUGCAUACACACACACACACACACACACACACACACACACACACACACACAACUCGUCUUCCGCCUUCCCACCCACCUCCCCGCCCGCCUGGCUCAACCGGCCCGCUUUGUCACAAAACUCACCAUUCGUGUAACUCGGAGGCACCUCCAGCUGCGCGCGAGGUGAUUGUACGUCUUCAUUGUACCAUGUCGCAAGGGUGCCGUACACAAAAUCGUUGAGUUCCGUACCCACAUUGUACGUCGUUCCAUCCUGCAUUCACACCAUGUAGAAGUCGGCGCAGGGCCCGUGGAGAGCCAAACGGGGUUGUUUGUUUUUUUCCUUGAUUGUGAGGGGGUUGGAGUAGGCGGGGGGAAGGGAUAACUUAUAUUCGUAGCAAUUUACCAUCGCCGUACUGUCGUACAAGACAUUUCUUGGCUGCGUAAACAGCAGCAAUUCCCCUCCACGUUCAUUCUCCAGCCCCCGGGGCACCCAAAACCCUAAAACCCCAAACCCUAAAACCCUAAAACCGUAUCAAAACCCAUGUCACUUCGCACUCACUUCCGCACAACCCCCCACUACUACCCUUCCCUCUCAUCCCAUUUCCCCCUUUUUCCAACCGCCGCAGCUAGCCUGCCCCAGAGAGCAACGUGCCUCUCUCGCACGUACACGCUUAGAGCCAGCCACCGAGUACGACUACAACAUACAAACAUACAUACGUGCAUACGUGUAGGCAAGUAAUAUAUCGGGGCAAAAAGGUUCCGGAGCACCUUCGCGCAGCUACGUGGCUCCCUUGGGUCUGGGCAGUUAGGGUUUUUGCGUGCUCUUUGCGUGUCACAUAAUUCCCCCCACUCCGUACAUUUCACCCCUCUUUUGCACGCAUGUAUAGCUCUUCCAUUCACUUCGCCAUUCUUCUUCCCCCCCUUCACCCUGCAUCUUCCCCUCACUCACGUCCAGUUUUAUGACACCUGUCAAAAUGGCCCUAAUGAUAAAUGGCUGCGAGGUCCUGUUGCCACGGUUACUGCCACCACCGUCACUACUCGUGUUGUUGUUGUUGCUGCUGCUGCUGCUGUUGCUGCUGCUGCUGUUGCUGCUGCUGCUGUUGCUGCUGCUGCUGUUGCUGCUACUGCUGUUGCUGCUGCUGCUGCUGUUGCUACUGCUGUUGUUGCUGCUGCUGUUGCUGCUGCUGCUGUUGUUGCUGCUGAUAUUGCUGCUGAUAUUGCUGCUGCUGCUGUUGUUGUUGCUACUGUUGUUGUUCAUGUUGUUCCCGGCAGCGGCCUCCGGAGUUGAGAGUGUUGCCGGGGUGUUGCGGGGCCCCGGGGGACUCGUCGAGUUGGACUCGACACGGGUUGGUCCCCCUCCCCCUCCUCCCNNNNNNNNNNNNNNNNNNNNNNNNNNNNNNNNNNNNNNNNNNNNNNNNNNNGGUGUGUGUGUGUGUAUGUGUGUGUGUGUGUGUGUGGAGCAAUGGGGCGGGGGGGAGCCAUGGUGGGUGUGGGGGGGGGAUGAGGGGGAAUUUGUUUAUGUCCAAAGCCAGGGAAAACAGCUGCCUACCCAUUAUCAUCAAAGUGGUAAUGCGAGAGAGGCAAAAGGUGUAAUGGCCCCGGCACACACCUUCCGGGAUUUGGUUGGCGUAACAUGGUGGGGUUGGUUGGGUUUCGGCGGUGAAACGGAGAUAAUGCGAGGGCGGUGGGGAUUGGGGGGUUGCCGUGUUGCAUCGCUGUGUUAGUUGUACACGUACGGCAGAUGACACCAACCCCGAAAUCCGCGAUGGCGUCCCCAGCUAGCCGUGUUGCUCGGCCCCUUACAGCCGUGUUGCUCGGCCCCUGUCAAAGGCAAGCAGCCCCACCUCCAGCAGCCCCCCACACGAUGGUCACCCCGAUCCUCCACCCCACCACCCCGCCCCCGCACCACCCCAAGUUUGUCAGUUUGUCAGUUUGUCAGUUUGUCAGUUUGUCAGUUUGUCAGUUUCAUUUUUGAAAACCCUAACACGCGUUGCUGGUGAUUAUUCGGAGCUCAUACGUACAUACAUACACACACCCCACACACACACCUCACCAUGUUGCUGCACAUCCCCCCACACCCCGCCAGCUCGG